ACAACACUGCCACCGGGUAGAUAAAAUGCUUUAAGCAUUCGUUGCAUAUCGUUAGGUCUUAGAAGAUAUGUUACGGGUGCUUUUUUUGGA
rnacentral:ncRNA from 1 species